CCGCCGAAAGGCGGAUUAAUACCGCAUAAACUCACAGUGUGGCAUCACACAAUGAGUAAAGAUUUAUUGGUCAAGGAUGGGGUUGCGUGACAUUAGCUAGUUGGCGGGGUAACGGCCCACCAAGGCGACGAUGUCUAGGGGACCUGAGAGGGUGAUCCCCCACACUGGCACUGAGAUACGGGCCAGACUCCUACGGGAGGCAGCAGUAGGGAAUAUUGGGCAAUGGGCGAGAGCCUGACCCAGCCAUGCCGCGUGCCGGAUGAAGGCCUUCUGGGUUGUAAACGGCUUUUCUCAGGGAAGAAAAAGGGCAUGCGUGCUCAACUGACGGUACCUGAGGAAUAAGCACCGGCUAACUCCGUGCCAGCAGCCGCGGUAAUACGGAGGGUGCAAGCGUUGUCCGGAUUUAUUGGGUUUAAAGGGUGCGUAGGCGGCCCGUUAAGUCCGGGGUGAAAGCCCACAGCUCAACUGUGGAACUGCCCUGGAUACUGGCGGGCUUGAGUCCAGACGAGGUUG
rnacentral:rRNA from 1 species